CAUAGUCUAAUAACAAUAUUUAUUAGCAACCUAAAAAAAAAGAAUCGGACAUUAAGAAUUAUCAAUAAAUCCAAUAAAUAAAUCCGAGCAAUCUGGUACCGAUACCGUACCGUUUAGCUGGUACCGGUACCUGCCCACCCCUAAUUAUGUUUCAUAUUUCCUUCUUGUAUCCCUACUAAAAUAUCGGUGACUAAAACAGUAAGGAUUGCCGUACCAGCUUCUUUUAGUGAUGCAAAAAUUGACCUAGCCGUAAAUAACUUGAAAAUCGCUAUAUUUCACUUCUGAUCACCGGAAAAAAAUCUUCCUGGCUAUGCAGUUACAUACCCAGGAAAAUUUACCAACGUGUACUUGCCACAUGUCAUUCGAGUUCUAUUACAUGGUCUAGGCAAUCAAUGUGAGAGGCUUGCCCAAAGUAGAUGCACAAUCAAUCAAUCAAUAAAUCAACAUCAAUCAAUAGCUCUGAAGCCACUGGCACCUAUAAAUGGCACUGGAGGAGUUGUUAGUGUUGGUGUGUUGUGGUGACAAGUGAGUGUGUAUUUGUUUUCUGAAUGAGUCUAUUGUACCUCAGUCUAAAAUCUGUUGAGGGAGGCUGUUCCAGUCACGUAUGGUGCGUGGAAAGUAUGAAGUGCUUGUAUGCGUCAGUGUUAGUGUGAUAUGUUUGGUAUUUAUGGAUGUGUGUAUUACGGCCGGUACGUUGAUUGCAGUGUUUGCGUUGUGUAAGUAUGUGUGUGGGUCAAUGUCAAUGAGAGUGUUUGUGCUCUUGCAUACGUGUAAGUCUGUGCGCUUGUCUGCGUAUAUAGGUGAAGAAGUUACAUACUUAUUUGUUGUUUGAUCCAUGUUGUGACGCCAGGCGUUCGAGUGUAAUUGUUUGUAAUGAACCUAGCCGCCUUGGUGUUGAUUUGUUCUAACCUAUCAAUGUUUCUGUGUGUGUAAGGAUCCCACACCGUGGAGCAGCAUUCCAGUGUUGGUCUCACAAGUGUGCCAUAAGCUGUGUUUAAUGUCAGGUGUGCAGUUAUGUAGAUUCCUCCUCCCAGGAACCCCAGUGUUAUGUUGGCUGUGGCACUGAUGUGGUCUAUGUGUGUUGAAUUUCAAGUUAGUUGAGAGGUGAACACCAAGAUACUUGUGUGUGUGUACUGAUUCAAGGUCUGAAUUAUGGAGAGUGUAAGUGUGAUGGAUGGGGUUGUGAGCUCUAGUGAAUCUUAAUAAUUUACAUUUAUCUAGUCAGAAAUGCUUCUGCCAGGUGCGCUCCCACCGCUGGAGGGCGUCCAAGUCUUUUUAUAGCAGUCUAGCUGCAGUCGUCACUAGUCUUCACUGUUCUAAACAGCAAACUAUUGUCAGCAAAUAGUCUAGUGGAAGAGUCAGGCGUUGAAAGUGGAAGAUCAUUAAUGUACAAGAGGAAAAGAAGGGGGCCUAGAACGGUGCCUUGUGGGACACCUGAAGAAAAAACAGGGACAGUGUCAGAUGAAGAUCCGUCAAGAACACGUUGAGUUCUGUUAGUAAGAAAUGCAGUGAUCCAGUGAAGAAUAGGUCCUGAAAUACCGUAGUAUUUCAAUUUUAAUGGCAGUCUUUUGUGCGGGACUUUGUCAAAAUCUUUGGCAAAAUCUAAAACGAUAGUGUCAACUUGUUUAAUGUCACUUCGGUCAAGUAGCCUCGUAAAUCGUAAUGUCAUGAAAUGUAGUAAUGAGUUGAGAUUCACAUGAGUGUUUAGGUCAAAAGCAGUGUUGUGAGUCAGUAAGGAUGUUGUUUGUGUCAAGGUAAUUCAUUAUGUGUUUAUGUAUUAUGUGUUCGAAAAUUUUACAUGGAAUCGAUGUUAGUAAGAUGGGGUGAUAAUUGGCUGGGUCACUCCGGUCACCUGUCUUAAAUAAAGGAUUAAUAUUUGCCAAAAGCCAGUCAGAGGGUAAUGAGGUGGAUGAUGGGGAUUGGGUGAAUAUGGCCUGAAGGAUGGGGGCAAAGGAUUUAAGGAUGAAGGCAGGAAUGUUGUUGGGGCGAGUGGACUGGUUAUGAGACAGCAAUAUAUUUAGGAGUGCAGCAACAGACAGCCAGCUAGAAUUGAUAGUAUGUAGUUCAUUUAUUUUUUACUUAAGGACCAAUCUAGAGUUUUAGUUAUAGAUGGUUAUCUAUGGCAUUUAUGUCAUGACAAAAAUAGUCUCUUAAUUAACAAUCACCGCUGAUGCAUCUUUACAAAGAUAUUCAACCUUAAAAAAGAUAAAAUAUUGCACAUUGUGGAUAAACCUCUAAAACUUUUGAGUUUCUAUUGAAGAUUAUCUUACUUCAUUUAUUUUCUAUGGAAAAUAAAAGAAAAUUACCCUUGAAGGCUGUUUAGAUACUUCGUGGCUUGAACCCACAUGUAAAGCAGUGAGCCUUGAACCUUUAAACCUGUGGUGUAAAUUUUGGCAGAUGCCGUCGACACUUGGUGAGGCGUUAUCAAAAAAGUGAAAAAGAGCUUCAGGAACCACUCCCUUUUCUUGUAUUAUUGCCCUUGUCCAUCCCAAAGGGAAAGUGGUUGGCCAAGGGAAGGGAACAAUGAUUUGUUUCUGGAUUAAUGGGGCUGCAUGGGUUUGGGGGAAAGCUUCAGCCCCCUUUGGCACCACCACUGCAUGUGAAAGGUGGCUUUUGUAUCCCCACCCCGAGGUCCAAAUGCCUUGCUACAUCCCAGAAGUCCUGUACCCCUGAAUCCCUCCCAUGCCUGUUCAUCCCAUAACCCAAAAAGACUUUAAGAAAGGAAAGGAACAUUAAGGAAUCAGUUUCCAUCACUAUAUGACUGCAGUAUUUAUUUUUGUUAGAUUUAGAAUGCAGCAUGUUAAUGAAAACUCGCUGGAAAAAAGUAUUAACUCGUUAUGUCAGAGUAAUGGCUGGAUCAUGGCUUAGUAUGAAGACAAAAAAAAGUUGUCAUAACCCUGCAGAUUAAAAAUUCUUUCAGUGUCAAAGCAUAUACUGGACCUUGUAUUAGUGAGGAGUCAUGAAUCAAACAAAAAUAGAAUUGAUGUACAUUUUUACUUUCAAUUAAAACCCAACAGUCCCUUAAAAAGGCUUAGUAUCAUCUCCUGGCGAGACUCCCCUCACUGCAGCAUUAUUAUCACAAGUUUAUGAUCUUUCAGUCACUGGUUACAUUAUAUGCAUUACAAAUACUACAUAUAGAAAUAUUAAAUUAUUAUGUUACAAUUGAGGAACUUUGUCCAGCUCAGAAAGACUAAUGAGAUGGUGGCACUUGUUGAGAAUAGGGCUGGAUCCAUACACUGGUACUUGUGCUUCAAUACACCAUUCAGCAUGUACCUGUACUUCUGCUUGGAUUCAGGGACUUGCACUUGUAAUUUGGAGCACAAGCACAGUGAAUGUGUAUUGACAGGUGACCAGUGGAGGCUGCGCAGAGGAAGGGCAAAGGUGCAACAAAGUUGUGGCCCAAUAUAUCCUAAUUACCAUACAGGCUAUGUCAGCAGGAUACAUCACAUGUAUGCAAUAAUUGAAUGUAAAAUAUGGUUUAUACCACUGUUAAAAUAUCCAAAUCUUUAAGUAACUAACUGGUAUUAGCACUUAGAUUCAAGCACUUGUGUUUGUACUCUAGUUCAACUAGAGUAAUGAGACAUGUUCACACUUGGAUAUGUAAUAUGUAUUAUAAUGUACUUAUACUUGUACUCAGGUAUAAACAGUUGUACUAUCAAACUAUCAAACAACUAUCCCCUAUUCUUUGACAACACUCAGCUAUCACCUUCUUCAACACUAAACAUCCUCGGUCUAUUCUUAACUCAAAAUCUCAACUGGAAACUUCAUAUAUCUUGUCUUACUAAAUCAGCUUCCUCGAGGCUGGGGGUUCUGUACCGUCUCCGCCAGUUCUUCUCCCCCGCACAGUUGCUAUCCAUUUACAGGGGCCUUGUCCACCCUCGUAUGGAGUAUGCAUCUCAUGUGUGGGGGAGGCUCCACUCACACAGCUCUCUUGGACAGAGUGGAGUCUAAGGCUCUUCGUCUCAUCAGCUCUCCUCCUCUUACUAAUAGUCUUCUUCCUCUUAAAUUUCGCCACCAUGUUGCCUCUCUUUCUAUCUUCUAUCGAUAUUUUCAAGCUGACUGCUCUUCCGAACUUGCUA